GUCGUGGGUGCUCCCCUGCGACGACAGGUAGAAGGUGGUGACGGUGCCCGCGGAGUUCCCCGGCACCAGCUUGAUCUGCAUGUCGAUCUUGCCGAAGAGGUACUCGCUCCUCGACUGGAACCCGGAGCCGGAGGUCCGGUCGAGGGUGAGGUCCAGCCCGCGCCCGCCGUCAACGACCUUGCCGCGGCCGCCCCCCCACGUCAUCUCCGUGUCCUGGUAGAAGUUGCCGGCCGCCUCCGCCGCCAACGCCAGGCAGGCCACCGCCGCAAUGGCGAUUGCCAACGACGACCUCAUCUUCUUCGCGGGUUGUGCAGCUCUGGCUAGCUAGUGAGAGUGGGGAAGGAUGGCAGGAACUCGAGAGGAGGAGGAGGUGACGAAGAAGUCUGAUUGGCUGGAUUGGUGUG
rnacentral:lncRNA from 1 species